CUUACACACCAGGAGGGCCCAUCUUCUAGCAGCAUGUCUUGUGGGCCCUGAGCCCCACGGAGCUUGCUCUCCUCCUGCAUUCACCGCUCAGCCCUCUGGCUCAUGCCACUUGCCCAGCACAUCCUGGGAGUCCUCAGUGGGGUAUGCUGGAGGGCGCAGCGCCCUGUGCGCCUGACUCGAGCUCACCAUGAGCUCCCCAUCUGCCUUCCUGUAUCAUCACCACGGAGGGAGGCUUUGCUCCCAGGCACCCAACCAACAACAAGGACGUGCUUCCCCGCCACUCUCCUCUCCUCCUCCAGGAGGCCAUCAUCCUCUCAACCUCAUCCCCAGAUCCAGUCCCACCUUGCUGGGAGACGAGGCAGGGAAAGCACAAUGGAGGAUGGACAACCAAGAAAA
ensembl:lncRNA